rnacentral:rRNA from 1 species
AUUGAACGCUGGCGGCAUGCCUUACACAUGCAAGUCGAACGGCAGCACGGGUGCUUGCCCCUGGUGGCGAGUGGCGAACGGGUGAGUAAUACAUCGGAACAUGUCCUGUAGUGGGGGAUAGCCCGGCGAAAGCCGGAUUAAUACCGCAUACGAUCUACGGCUGAAAGCGGGGGACCUUCGGGCCUCGCGCUAUAGGGUUGGCCGAUGGCUGAUUAGCUAGUUGGUGGGGUAAAGGCCUACCAAGGCGACGAUCAGUAGCUGGUCUGAGAGGACGACCAGCCACACUGGGACUGAGACACGGCCCAGACUCCUACGGGAGGCAGCAGUGGGGAAUUUUGGACAAUGGGCGAAAGCCUGAUCCAGCAAUGCCGCGUGUGUGAAGAAGGCCUUCGGGUUGUAAAGCACUUUUGUCCGGAAAGAAAUCCUUGGCCCUAAUACGGUCGGGGGAUGACGGUACCGGAAGAAUAAGCACCGGCUAACUACGUG